rnacentral:piRNA from 1 species
UGCAAGUUGAUGUCAAGAUGGCCAUCCUGCA